UAGAAACAAUGUAAACAUUUGCCAUCCAACUCAUGGUUAAUAGAAAAACUUUUGAUUGUCUUACUAUGAAGUAGUCCUGUUUGGGAGAUUAAGCACCACACUGCAUAACAAGUUUGAGAAGCUGGGUGUGGCUUCCUUGACUGGCUGCAGCCCAGCAACAGCUCAAAACCCCCUUCAAUGGCUGCAUGAUUGUUUCCGCCUUGUCCGAGCUCCAGCUCUGCUGCCUGACCAGCAUCCUGCAACUCAGCCACCAGCCAUACUUCCUCCUGGGAAACAUCAACCACUUCACACUCACCUGAGCCUCCACCUUCACCUCAGCCACCAUGCUCCAGGAUCACAAAACCUUCCUCCACUACUCCGGGAACCUGAGCAACUUUAA